rnacentral:sRNA from 1 species
AUUCUUAUGAACAGAAGUCUAGGGUUAGCAUCAAGGUUCACUCUGUGUUGUCCAGUCUUUGGGUUUUGACAAACUGACAAUGUCCUUUGUCACCCUGAUGGAAUAAUUUCGCAUCCUAAGCAUGACCUGAGCUGCACCUACUAAUUCCUCUCCUUUUCUGAGGAUUCCUGACAACUGUGGAUGAUUUUACUGCCUCUAUAGGUUUCCUUUUCCAGAAUUUUAUGGAGUUGGAAUCAUAAAAUCACGAUGAGCAAGUGGCGCAGGAAACUUAUUCUGAGGAUGUCCCAGGCGUUCACAUGAUGGACAAAGCCACAGAGACAAGCA